AUAAACUAGUUGAAGGGUUUAGUAAAUUAAUUUUACAAAUUAAACUCAUAAACCAUAGGUUAAA
rnacentral:tRNA from 1 species